rnacentral:rRNA from 1 species
AGAGUUUGAUCCUGGCUCAGGACGAACGCUGGCGGCGCGCUUAACACAUGCAAGUCGAACGGUGAACCGGGCUUCGGCCCGGGGAUCAGUGGCGAACGGGUGCGUAACACGUGGGCAACCUGCCCCUCACUCUGGGAUAACCCCGGGAAACCGGAGCUAAUACCGGAUACUCCGAACGGUCCGCAUGGUCCGAUCGGGAAAGGUCCGCCGGUGAGGGAUGGGCCCGCGGCCUAUCAGCUUGUUGGUGAGGUAACGGCUCACCAAGGCGACGACGGGUAGCUGGUCUGAGAGGACGACCAGCCACACUGGGACUGAGAUACGGCCCAGACUCCUACGGGAGGCAGCAGUGGGGAAUCUUGCGCAAUGGGCGAAAGCCUGACGCAGCGACGCCGCGUGGGGGAUGAAGGCCCUCGGGUUGUAAACCCCUUUCGGCAGGGACGAAGCGGUUCCGUGACGGUACCUGCAGAAGAAGCCUCGGCUAACUACGUGCCAGCAGCCGCGGUAAGACGUAGGAGGCGAGCGUUGUCCGGAUUCAUUGGGCGUAAAGAGCACGCAGGCGGUUCGGCAAGUCGGUUGUGAAAUCCCAGGGCUCAACCCUGGGACUGCGUCCGAAACUGCCGGACUAGAGGUAGGUAGGGGAGAUCGGAAUUCCUGGUGUAGCGGUGAAAUGCGCAGAUAUCAGGAGGAACACCGGUGGCGAAGGCGGAUCUCUGGGCCUUACCUGACGCUCAGGUGCGAAAGCUAGGGGAGCGAACAGGAUUAGAUACCCUGGUAGUCCUAGCCGUAAACGUUGGGUGCUA